rnacentral:rRNA from 1 species
UGGGAAAUUUUGGACAAUGGGCGAAAGCCUGAUCCAGCAAUGCCGCGUGUGUGAAGAAGGCCUUCGGGUUGUAAAGCACUUUUGUCCGGAAAGAAAUCCUUGGCUCUAAUACAGUCGGGGGAUGACGGUACCGGAAGAAUAAGCACCGGCUAACUACGUGCCAGCAGCCGCGGUAAUACGUAGGGUGCAAGCGUUAAUCGGAAUUACUGGGCGUAAAGCGUGCGCAGGCGGUUUGCUAAGACCGAUGUGAAAUCCCCGGGCUCAACCUGGGAACUGCAUUGGUGACUGGCAGGCUAGAGUAUGGCAGAGGGGGGUAGAAUUCCACGUGUAGCAGUGAAAUGCGUAGAGAUGUGGAGGAAUACCGAUGGCGAAGGCAGCCCCCUGGGCCAAUACUGACGCUCAUGCACGAAAGCGUGGGGAGCAAACAGGAUUAGAUACCCUGGUAGUCCACGCCCUAAACGAUGUCAACUAGUUGUUGGGGAUUCAUCUCCUUAGUAACGUAGCUAACGCGUGAAGUUGACCGCCUGGGGAGUACGGUCGCAAGAUUAAAACUCAAAGGAAUUGACGGGGUCAUAGCUGUUUCCU